GUUAGAAUGGCUGAGUGGUCCAAGGGGCUGCGGUCAGGUCGCAGUCCGCAUCCGUGGGCGUGGUUUCGAAUCCCACUUCUGACA
rfam:Stegodyphus mimosarum contig98112, whole genome shotgun sequence.